GAUGAAGAACGUAGCGAAAUGCGAAAAGUAGUGUGAAUUGCAGAAUUCAGUGAAUCAUCGAAUCUUUGAACGCACAUUGCGCCCCUUGGUAUUCCAUGGGGCAUGCCUGUUCGAGCGUCAUUUGUACCCUCAAGCUCUGCUUGGUGUUGGGUGUUUGUCCCGUUUCACACGUGGACUCGCCUUAAAGCAAUUGGCAGCCGGCAUACUGGCCUUGGAGCGCAGCACAAUUUGCGCUUCUUGCCUGAAUGUCAGCGUCCAUCAAGUCUACAUUUUUGCUCUUGACCUCGGAUCAGGUAGGGAUACCCGCUGAACUUAAGCAUAUCAAUAAGCGGAGGA
rnacentral:misc_RNA from 1 species